rnacentral:tRNA from 1 species
AGCCCUGUGGUGUGACACGCUAGAUUGCAAAUCUUGAGAAGCAGGCUAACCACCUGCCGGGGCUU